ACGACCAUACCAUGCUGAAUAUACCGGUUCUCGUUAUCACCGAAGUCAAACAUCAUUGGGCGCGUCAGUACUUGGGGGGGUGACCACCUGGGAACACCGCGUGCCGUU
rnacentral:rRNA from 1 species